ensembl:lncRNA
GGAACAUGGAAGAAUAUGUGGACUAUUUUGGGGAUCAUAUGUAGAAGAGGCAUACAUCUGUGAUUCUUAAUGAUUUACUAGAAAUAGUGAAAUGAAGGAAAAGACACGCACAAUAUAAACACAUUCUAAAAAUUCUAGAUUCAAUAGACGUAAAACUACUUUGUCAAAUUGUGAUAAAAGUUUUUAAAUUCUUACUAUCAAUUUCUACCUUUACGUCAUUGUGGACCAUCAAGAAACAAUUCAUGAAUGAGCAGUGUACCCCAGACCACACUUUGAGUAGUAUUGGCAUAUACUACUUUGGCCCAUUUUCCAUUGUGACAUCAUCUCAACCUAACUGCUAGAGAGAUUGGGAAAUGUUGUUUUCUUUUGUGCUCAGAAAAAGGAAAUAGAUUGGUGGGCUUCUAGUCCAUCUCUGCCACAGCUCUGCAAUGAAUUUAAAUUGAACUUAUUGCAUGCAUUGCUUAAUGUCCUUUGUGGUUAAACUAUUUCCUAAAUGGUACAACCUGAAUAUCUUAGUGUGACAAAUUUACUCACGAAAGGUCCCUCUAUCAUCAGGUUGGAGGAAGUCUUGACAAGGAAGUUGGCAAGACUGGAAGUUGACCUUAGCAUUCAGAGAGCAAAGAGACUUUCAGGAUAUCUGUUCCCAAGUACGGCGAGAUGGCAGUCCUCUCUCAGAGCUCCAUUCUGCACAGAAUACGGAUGUGUGAAGCACACUUGUGUCUGCCCACUGCCCAUUGUUUGCUUCUUAACAGAAUGGCCUUCCAGAAGAAUUCCACAAAUUUGUUGAAAAGGAUUUCUUUGGAGGAAAAGCUUCGGAAGGAUACAAAGUAGUUACUUUUGAAAGGUGGAAUUGGUAAAGGGAUAUUGAUGGUGACAGGAAACUUUCACUCUUUCCUGUGUAUGUAUUUAUUAUAUAGCUUUAUGAUUAAAACUGCAUAUGUAUGAUUAAAAUAAUUAAAAAGAUCAAUUUGACAUAUGGCAUUUUUUCAGUAAAAGAUAGAAAGGAAGGAAUUUAGGAAAGAUGGAAGGAAGGAAGGGAGAAAGGAAAAAGGAGACUCCUUGAUAAUCAGAGCGAGAGUUAGGUACUUAAACAGCCAAUUUGUCAACAGUGAUGAUGCUGCUGCUGAUGAUAAGAGUGAUGAAUACCACUAUUGCCUUCAGUUUUACUUUGGACUUGAAUAGCAUCUGGACUUAGCUGCUCACUGCCUGGACACCCUGCCUUUUCUCUCAGUUCUAACUAAGCUUCGCUCGUGCUUCUUUGUUAAAUACCAAUGAAAUUCACAGAUCUUUGCAACCUUAAGCUGUAAGAAAAUUCAGUGCAAAAGCCUGGCUUAUAUAACUUUGAACCUUGACAACUAGACAGGAUUUAUCUCAUGCAUAUGUAUUAAUUUUAAGUGCUUUUCUCUAACAGUCAUUUGACAUUUAAUAUACCAUAAUUGUAUUAUUAAAUUUAAAUGCAUAUUUGCAAUUCUAAAAGCACUACUGAACUUUAUGGGUGAAAAAUACAUUCUCCUUCACCUUGGUUCCUUCUCACCCACCAGUUCUUCUCUAGGCUUUAUUCGCUCUGCUACCCUCACCCUGGCUGGAGUCCUCUCUUUUUUCCACUAUCUCAGAUUCUCAACUUCCUUUGUUUUCCCAUUGCCUAAUAUUCUCUUCUCUCCUCUCUUUGGAAUACAUGUUCCCUCAGUCUUGCUGCAUCUUUCUUCUUCUGUUGUGGAAAGGUCCAGUGCUUCUGUUCUCUACCAGCAGCCCCUCACAGUCACAUCUCUCAUUCAUCUGUGGGGAAGUUUCAAGAUGCUGCAGUGGCUUUCACUUCCACCAACGAUCUUUCAGCACAGUCUACGGGGGCAUUUUGCAAACAUUAAAGUGGCCUGCCUCAAGAGGUGAUGAGCUCCCGAUCGAUCACAAUCCUUUCAGGCAGGGAGUGAGGGGGAUGCUGAGUAUGAGGAGUUGGGGGAAGAUGGCCUGAACAACCUUUGAGCCUUUUCCUUCUCCAGGUCAGACUAUCUCUCUUCUUUACUCUUAAGCCUUUAAUAGCUAAUUAAGAAAGUGCUGCCGCACCUCUAGCUCUCCACCAAAAACUCUUGACUUUGACCUUUUAUGACGUCAGGUGUCAACAGGGUCUUGGACAUCACUUCAUUCAACAACAUUACUUUUUACCAGAAAUAAAACUGAAGACCAGAGAAGUUAAGUCUUGGCUCAGUUUCCAGCUUAUCAGAAGCAGAGCUGAUGCAAGGGCCCUGGUCUAUGAUUCACAUUUGAGUGCUCUCCACUCAUCCUAUCAGCUUCAGCCACACAAAACAACCUGUGGUGAGUUCCCUGAACGUGACCUUCCAGUUUAUGGCUCUGUCAUGUCCACGCACUUGCAUCUGCUCUUUGUCCUGCCAGCCAGCUACAACUUUUCCAACUUUCUCUCACAUAGUUAAGCCUUAUUUAUCCUUCCAUUAGAGGUCAACUUCAAUUCCUCAGUUUCCUUUUCUUCUCCAUUCUGUAGUGUUCUCUGCAAUUCAUGUUCACCCACUCUCAGCUGCUGCUUUCCUUUUUGGAAAGAAAGGAAAUUUCCAGUCCGUGUGGAAAUGUAUAGUGCUACUGGUCACUGUACAACAUUUCCCCCCAUCAUUUCCCUACACAGUCAUAUCUCUCACUCAACAUGUAGGGCAGUUUUCUUCUCAAGAGGGAGCUCAUCCUGUACUUUACUGAUCCUCAGGCUUGGGAAGAGCUGCUUUUGAGGGGAGCACAGUUCCUCUGAUUUUGCUGAUGCCUGUCUCCCUCAACAAAAGCUAUUCUGCAGGGCUGGACUGUGGCCAAGUGGUUAAGUUCGCACGCUCUUCUUUGGCAGCCCAGGGUUUUGCCGGUUUGGAUCCUGGGCGUGGACAUGGCACCGCUCAUCAGGCCAUGCUGAGUCGGUGUCCCAAAUAGCACAACCAGAAAGACCUACAACUAGAAUAUACAACUAUGUACUCAGGGGCUUUGGGGAAAAAUAGAAAAAAAAAAUUAGCAACAGAUGUUAUCUCAGGAGCCAGUCUUUAAAAGAAAAAGUGAGUGCUCACCCAUAGCAUUUGCAUCUAAAAAAAAAAAAAACCUAUUCUGGGAUGAUUCUCAGAAGGUCUAACAGUUUAAACCAGUCAUUAUCUCUUUCCUGCUCUGCUAAAAUUUUUGACCUGUAGACCUAAUGAGAUGUGGUAAAUAAGUACUGCUGCUUUUCCUCUUCUUUCCAGAAAUUUCCAGUGUUUAUAUUCAUUGCAAAAUAGUUUCCCCCAAUCAGUCCAUCACACAGACACAUCUCACCCUAAGGACCAAGUUUAGGAUAUUGCACUGACCGCCUUACCCCUACUUCUCUGAGUUUUCAUCAGCGUCUGAGGGAUCAUUUUUCAAAACUUAAAGUUCUCUGUCAUAGAAAAGACUUCAUUUCUCUCCCAGUGGUGCCCCUCCUUAGAAGAGAAUUAUACUGCAUACGCCUUUAUUUGGCUAAAGAAGUGUGAGCAGAAGUGAUGUGUGUCAUUUCUGAGCAGAUAUUUUCCUAGUUUACCAUGAUUCUGUUUUCCUUCUUCCACAAGACUCACGAUUGAGGUUAUUCCAUUAGCACGGUCCUAGAAGGGAAGACAUGAAGCAGAGCUCCAACUGACCCAUUGCAAAUAUGCAGUAUGGGCAAGAAAUAAGCUUCGUUGAUGUCAAGCCACUGAGAUUGUGGCUAUGACCAAUUGUCUCAGCAUAUGAAGUUUGGGGGGAUCAACCAUUCAGUCUAUAGCACAAAGCUUAUCCUGACAGAUUCAGGUGGGAAGAAUGCAAGAGUGAACUUGUAACUGAUGUGCACUUCCAUUCCAUGUGUGUGAUGUUCUGCAAUUGUGGAAGAGGUCUGAUAAUUCACUGCAGAUACUGUGUCACGGUCUUUGAUCAAUUUGCUGUGGCAGCCAUUGUGUCUGACAGCUUGGACAUUGUCAGGAAAGGCCUGGAGACUUAGCUGGACUCCUGUCUGUGGUACACUACACUGAGUCUCAAGAAAAGAAGAUUACUGUGAGAUGAUAGCUAACGUGAGAGAAGGAAUGAAAUCUUCAAUAUAAAACCAGACCAAUAAUGAUUGCAGCUAGGGCAUUGGAAAAUAGUCCCGAAAAUAUAAUGAGUGUUACCUAAUUUCCCAAGUCCAGUUUUCAUAGAGCACAUCUUACAAAAUGUACAAUACAUUCUGCUAGGAUAAAUAAAGGAAGCUUGAUAUCAAUCAUAUGCUAUUUCCCCUGUGGGUCAUCCAGACAAAAAGCCUACAAAAUGUAUAGAGCAUCAAGGAAGUUAAGAGAAGUUCGUGGAUGACAGACUUGUAAACAGUAAUUAGACAAAAAGAGGGCAACGUAACCUGAAACUGAGCUUCACAGAUCAAGAACAGUUAAUACGAGGUCACCUUGGGCACCCCAUCUGAGAUGGCACACUCUGCAUGGGUGGACUUAGAGUUGAAGCUACGGUGGCAUUUACACUUCUCUUAAAAUAGCAAUAGAGUUUGUCAUUCAACUGGUAGCAGGUUUUCCUUUUGCCUUCACACUUGCCACAUGAAAGCUGCCUUUAUAUGAGUGUCACCAGCCUGUCUUUUUAUAAAUCACUGCUGCCUUGCCAAAUAGAUAUGUGCAUCGGUAAGACUGUCCUUUUUUGCAUAAGUCUCAUAAAUCAACAUCACUGAACAAUUCCCAGCACAGGUAGUCUUUUAAAUUUAAAAAUUGGAAAACAUAAAAAAGGAGACUGUGAUAUGGAAAGAAAAAAAUCUCUUAAGAAAUUCUGAGUGUUUGUUGGAAACAAUGAGAGAAAGAGAGAGAGAGUGAGCCAGAGAGAAAGUUUCCCUCACUCAGACGCUCUGAAUUAGGAGCCAGAAGGUACAGCAAAGCUGCAAGCAGAAAGAUAGAGUUUUCCUUUGUAGCUUGGUAAAGGUUUGCGUUUUGUGACCCUGGAAGGAAGGCUGUCUUUGACGUUGCCUCAAGGGUCACUAGACUCCCUGGUCCGCCCUAAGAUGCAUGCUCUUGAGAAAAGGAACGUGACUAGUGCGAGGGCCAAAGAAGGUGACGAAUGGAUUACUUUCAAUGGAAAAAUAUAUAUAAAAAUAGGGAUAACUUAAGCUUAUUGAGUGCUUAUGCUGUGCUGGGUACUUUCUAAACGCUUUACCUGUAAGAACACAUUCAACCCCUACAGGAAACCUCUCAGAUAGGCGCUACAGUUAUUUUAUUUUUAUAGAAAAGGAAACUGAGGCAUAGAGAUAUCAUUAAAUGACUUGGGCAGAGUCACCCAGCUAAUAAGUGUCAGGGCAGGAUUUGAACCUGGACAGUAUGGCUUCAGAGUCCACACUUCUCCAGCAGCAAAACUAUAAUUCAACCACAGAUACUCUCACUUUGACAAAUGGACUCCACAAACAGGGCCCUGCCUUUCUUUGAUGACCAGGGUGGAUAUUCUUAGAACAUGGUCUCGGACUUGGCAAGCCCCUAGACUUUGCUUUAACCUACUUUCCAAAAUAGGUUCUAUCUGGUGUGAAAUCUUGAAGGGGAGUGAUUGGACCAUGACUCUUAAGGGUACACAGGACAGCCCAAGUUUAGUCUAAUAAUUGCUGGGGAGAUCUAGGGCUCUGUCUAAAGUGUGCUCUGUCUUCUCUUUGGUGCGUGAUACACCAAAAAUGACUUCCCCCUCCUUGUCUUGGUUUGCUCAUGUGUAAAACAAGGAAGAUAAUAAUAAUGGUCUCAUAGAGUUUGAUGGUGAAAUUAUGUAUUCUUGGCCCUUAGGAAAUGUUAACAGUCAUUAUUAAAUUUUGUCCUGAAUGCCUGUUGCCGCAUCUUUUGCUCAUGACUUCCAAGUUCCAGGAUUAGGUUUGCAGAGCUUUACUAAAAGCCUAUAGCUAUUUUCUAGCACCAAAUCCCCGACUCAAACUUUGAGACGGAAGAGACUUACCUUAAAGGACAAGUUAAAGAAAGAAGAAACUUAUUCUGCUCUUUACUUCUUUACAUGAAGAAAAUUUUGAGUCAAACUAGAAAUGUACAGCUCAGAAAAAAAUAAGUUUUUUAACCUUCAGGACAGUGAGGUGGAAACUAGCAUGAGAUUCCACACCUCAGUGGGACAGAAUGAACUCAGGGUCUGGGUUACACCUGACAGUCCCCUACAGCGCUAAAAUCAGCUAUAGCUACGGAUCCUCCUGCCCAGUUUGAGGAAGUUCAAGGCUGUCCCAGGGCUUGCUGCCUUCUCUGCACUUCUCCCUGCUGUGCAAGCAGAUUCUGUACUGGGGAGGGAGAUAGAAAGGGAAGGCUAUUUCAACUGACCCCUUACCAUUAUACCCUUUGAAUAGGAAUUUUCUGGAAAAUGGGAAAAACGAGCAUUCUUCAAAAAUCUCCCAAGCUAAUUCUGAGGUACAAUUUGUUCCAGCUGGACACCACUGUAAUUUAAGAGCUUUUAGGUACAUGCACAAACAUGUGAAGUGAAACUUUGGAGUUCUAAGAUGCUUCUCAAAGCCACACACACAAAGAACUCUCAUGACUUUGCUCACUUCUCACACUUGUUUAUCUAAUCAAAGAUAUCUAAAUAGAUUGAAACACUUUGGAACCCACUUCCAGAAAAAUAUUUGUCCCCCUUGAUUAACCAAUGUGCUUUUCCCCCUCAAGUAUUAAUAAUUAAACAGGCUAUAAUAUUUUUGCUUUGGCAACCCGGAAGCUAAAG